CGGGCGAGCCGCGCUGACGGGGCAGCCGCUCUUAAAGGGGUCCCCACCCCACCCACCGGCGGCAGGAGGCUGCUGGCCCUGGGCCAGGUGGGACCCUGCCAGCGCCGAUGGAUGCCCGAGGUGCUUCCAUGCCCCCCCUGCUCCUGGCUAACCAGCACCAGUUCUUCAGUGGCAAGCUUUAUGUCCUUCUCCAGUAGCUAAAGCUGCCAGUUGAAGAACUGUUGAAUGUAGCCACUCUCUUCUUGUCACCGGGACCUUGGAUGCCAGCCAGACCCGCGCCCCGAGCGACCGGGAUGAGCCAGACUGCAGCGUCCUGUGGAUUGGAGGGCUGAGGAUGAGUCCAGCUGGGAUGAAGAAGUCUCCCCACAGCCUCCAGACAGAGCCUUGGCUGAGGGAUUGCCAGGCAGCCCUGUCAGCGGGGUCCCCCUGCAUUGGGGUGGCACUGAGCUGAGAGGAGACUGAAAGAGGCAUUAAACUUUCUGUUUUGCUCAA